CUACAUUCUUUGACAAUGAUAUGGCAGCUGAAGAAGUAGGGGCAUUGAGGAAUGAAGGAUACCUCCAAAUUUUUAUAUUAAUAGGUACUGUCAUUUUUGUACUCCUCAAUACUAUAUUUAGAGAUGAAAAAAUAAAAAAUAUUGAGGAUAAAAUAAAACAAAAUGAGGAUAAAAUAAAACAAAAUGAGGAUAAAAUAGAAAAUAUUGAGGAUAAAAUAGAAAAUGUUGAGGAUAAAAUAGAAAAAAUGAGGAUAAAAUAGAAAAUAUUGAGGAUAAAAUAGAAAAUAUUGAGGAUAAAAUAGAAAAAAUUGAGGAUACAAUAGAAAAAAUUGAGGAUAAAAUAGGAAAUAUUGAGAAUAAAAUAGGAAAUAUUGAGGAUAAAAUGGGAAAUAUGGAAGAUAAAAUAGGAAAAAUUGAGGAUAAAAUGCAAGCCCAAUUAGAAGAUCUAAAAAGUUUCUUACAGGAUCAAUUGGCAAACAACCACUCUACCAGAAACAGACCUGUUUCUGAACCUUUGAAUGAGGAAAUUUCCUUCCCUGAAAUAGAGAUGGAAAACACCUUCCCUAUAGCCCAGUUAACAGACUGCUUCUCUCGUGCAGUGCAAAUCUUGUCUGAAUUUAAUCCCCAAAACCCUUCCCCUGCAAUCCCAGCUUCUCAUGUUCCUUCUCCUACAGAAAACCAAAUUCCAAUGCAAGGGAGAUCUUGUCCUCCUAGAGAAACCUGUCCUUGUCAAACUGACCCACAGGUGCAAAAUUCAACUAGAGGCCUGUUUCCUCUAAGAGAAGUACCUGAAAUAGGACGAAAUGGGGAUGUGGUGACUUUAAGACAUAGAAUACCGUUUACUCCCCAAGAAAUAAAUGAAUUUACACGAAAUAUCCCCACAUAUGAACAAGAUCCUUUUCUAGUAACAAAAAAGAUGGGAGACAUAUUUUUUCAAUAUAAUCCGUCUUACAAGGACGUUGAGAGCUUACUACAGGCUUUUUUAAGUGAACGUGAAAAAAAUAAAAUAAUUGCUCAUGUCAACAAAACCCGGGGGCGUAAUGCAGCACAUUGGCCAUCUCAGGAUCCCGAAUGGGACUAUAAUAAUCCUGAGGACUAUCUACAACUAUACCGUUGUAGAGAGGCCAUCCUCACGGCCAUGAAGGAAUGUGCGGACAGUACAGAUAAGUGGAUGGAACUGGAAAAAAUUAAGCAAAAGGAAAACGAAACACCCUCCAGAUUUAUGGACAGAAUUAUCGAGUUUGGGGACAGAUACUUAGAUUGGGACUUAAAUAAAGAGAAUAGUUUAAGACAAGUUAGAAGAAUCUUUGUAAAUAAUUCUUGCAAAGUAAUUAAAAAUUAUUUUAAAACACAAUGCCCAAGAUGGUCAGAUAUGGACCUUGAAGAAUUGCGAAAAACAGCUAUAUAUGUUUUUAAGGGAAACGAAGAAAAGGAGAAAGAGAAUAAUGAUGACAUGGAGGAAAUGAAGAAAAAAAUGAGAUGUGUAAUAGAUAGGAUAACUAAAUUAGAAAGUGGGCAUGAUAAUGAACCAACGACAAUUGCCCCUCUCCAGAAAUCCAAUUAUCAAUCCAUUACUUGCCACUUCUGUGAGAAGAAGGGCCACAAAAUGAUGGAAUGUAGAACCUUUCUUAAGAUGUUUGGAAGGAAUACACAG
ensembl:lncRNA